rnacentral:rRNA from 1 species
AACGAACGCUGGCGGCAGGCCUAACACAUGCAAGUCGAACGAUCCUUCGGGAUAGUGGCAGACGGGUGAGUAACGCGUGGGAACCUUCCCUGUGGUACGGAAUAGCUCCGGGAAACUGGAAUUAAUACCGUAUACGCCCUUCGGGGGAAAGAUUUAUCGCCAUAGGAUGGGCCCGCGUCGGAUUAGCUUGUUGGUGAGGUAAUGGCUCACCAAGGCUACGAUCCGUAGCUGGUCUUAGAGGAUGAUCAGCCACACUGGGACUGAGACACGGCCCAGACUCCUACGGGAGGCAGCAGUGGGGAAUAUUGGACAAUGGGCGCAAGCCUGAUCCAGCCAUGCCGCGUGAGUGACGAAGGCCUUAGGGUUGUAAAGCUCUUUUGGCGGGGACGAUAAUGACGGUACCCGCAGAAUAAGCCCCGGCUAACUUCGUG